GGGAGAACUCCAAUGGCGUCUGUGUCAGCACGCCCACACCAGGCCACAACAAUGGCUGCCGCCAAUGUCCCAGUCCCUGGGGAGGUCUCACCCCUCACCGAGAUGCACUCAGGGCCUAUUAGCUGCAAGUCCCUCCAGCUCCUCCAUGCGAACUACUGCCACAGCAUGGCCACCGACAGACGAGUGGUGUGGUUCCGUGCGGGAACCGAACCUGGGCUGCUGAAGUGGAGAGCGCUGAAUCCUAACCACUAGGCCAUCAGGGCUGGCUCGGUUCAUCACUUUUUAAUUGAUCCAGAUCUUAAGUUUAUGUUUUGAUUUAUGGAUGUAGUGACUUAGGAACCAAAUGAAAAUAUUAAUACAAUGUCUGA